GUACAUUAGGAUACAGUAAUUUCAUCAUAAUUCAUAUUCAUAAUUCACAGUGAGGAAACCUGAAAGUUGCUACCAGCUACCAAUAAAUGAAAGGUGGGGCGGGGUCUCUGGGGGGCACGGCUUUGUGAGCCAGUGCCUGGACUCCCACGUGACAAAUGGAAGGGCAGCGCGUGGAGGGAACUCAAGGCCUGAUUGGUUCUUCCUAAGCAGGACACGAUCUCGUUGGCAGGGCAACCGGCCUUUAGUUGGUGGCCUUCAGUGGGUGGCUUAAGUUGGUGGCAUUUGGUUGCCUUUCCUGGGGAGAGGCGGCAGGUGCUCAGCUCUGCAGACGUGGGGGCAAGAGAAGGCCCAAGCUGCCUCGAGAAGAGCAGAGGUGCCCCAUGGGGACCAUGAUGACCGGUCGCAUGUGCCAAAGCCAGCCCCCGGCAGGGCCAGCGCAGGGUUUCUGCGGGGCCGUCCUGUGGCUCUGAUAUCUAUGAGUGGGUGGCCAGCAAAGGCACAGGCACCAGCAGAAAGGAGCAGAGAUGCCCAGAACAUGCUGUCCCCCAAUGCCAGCCCCAAGCGAGGCCAGCUUAGGGUGCGGUGGGCAGAGCCAUCCUGCAGCUCUGAGAUCCACGAAGUGGAGGUGGGAGUAGCGCCAGGCUCCACGGCGUUGGAGCUCUCACAACUUGAGCUCAAUUUUAUUCCGGAGCCAUGACCUGCAGCACAUUGGUGACCAGAAGACGCCCAAAGCUGGGCAGAUGUGCCUGAGACAGGUUUGACCAGGCAACUGAAAAGAUAUCCCUAAGAGAAGACAAAGCAAAGGUAUGAAAGGAACACACGUCCCUGACUGACUAGGAGGAACAGAGCUGCCUGCUGUCUGGAACCGCUUCCUCCCAGACUAAGAGAG
rnacentral:lncRNA from 1 species